AACAGUUUUACCCUUUUAGCUAGAGAAUUGUCAUGUUGUAAUUAAAGUUACCGAUAAUUUAUGAACUCCAAGUACUCGCUCUGCUGUGGAGUGAUCAUACCGAACGUCUCGAUCGCUCCUGUCCUGAUGGAAGUUAUUUCGCAGAACAUGGAAUUAAGUAUAGUCAUUCUUUGGGCUUCAUUGACUUCGAAUGCCACUUUCUCGCGACACAGCUGAUCGAAGCCCUCGAUUGUAUUAUAGGGGAGGGAAUCCUUUGGUUUCAUCAGGGACAUCAUCCUCUUGCUGAGUGGAUCUGUAUGACUCUGGAGAAUAAUUCAAGUUAAUUUCUUCAUGAUGUCUCAUUAAAAUUAUCUACCUUGUAUGUGUCGUACUGUGCACUAUCCACCACAACGAUAAGCCCAUAACUACCAUCAGAAGCGAAUUCUUCUCUCGUGUUAAAUGGUGUUUCGUCUGGAAAACCUGUGAAACAUAUGACGUCCACGAGAAUGACUAUUGGUCAGUUGGAAAAAACAUACCAAAGAUACUUAUUGAGACCCCUUAUCAUCAUUCCAACUCACUUGACAAUCCUUGUUGACAAUAAAUACCCCAGACGUUCAAAUAGUGCUCGACGAUCUGAGGAAACAAAUGAUUCCCCCUUCUGUACCUGAUAAGAGUCAAAAAGAGGGGCAUCGUCAGGAUCAACCCAAUGAUGGCAACCCAGACAUCCACAGCAAAUGCCUGCAAGUAAAUGAUUGAUUAUUAAUGACCAUUAUGAUUGUUAACCGUCUGUAUGGAAAGUGUCUUAGUCGUUGCAGGGACAUUAUACUCAAGGCCCUGUCGUCACCCAGACACGAUUGAUAUGAACCUUGAAAUAGGCCUGCCACCGAACACGAGCACCAUCGAGUUUCCUCACGUACAGUCGUGUCUCUCCAGACACCAUGGGAAUGGUAAAAUCAACAACGUUCAGUCGUCCAUGCGUCAUAGCUAUUGGAGAAACCCCGAUAUCAGCUUCGUUCCUCUGAAUUCUUCCAAUUAGACCACUCCACUCUGCCGUCUUUGGAUCCCAACUUCCGUAAAAAUCCUCCGGGAAUACCUCUGAUAUCGUGAAGUUCAUUGUCUCAGAUAAUUCGUUGAGAAAUUCUCCGAAGAGUCCAAAAUACUCUCCAUCCUUUUCCCAAAUAUAGGAAGAUCUCUAAUAUUGGAAAAAUUAAGUUUUUGCAGUUUAAAAAGGAUUUACGAAUAAGUCGUGGAUUUCCUGGUGAAAACAAAAGUUGUUAAAAUAUAAAAAAUACUCAGACGUCUUGAACGUUCACCUUAGUGAUGGCAAUACGCAGUCCUCGUCCUUCCAACGAAUUUCUCCGGCUGUAGAGCGUUUCAUUUUUAAUCCACUCGAUCCUGCGAUAAUCAUUCAUCCAUCGGCCGAUUUCUUGUCGCUUCGUAUGAUCGCCCGUCAAUGACCACCAUUCAACAAUGACAUCUGAUUCGCAGCAUAAAACAAGAACUUGUGAAUUGAAUUUGAGAUUCAACAAAUUCCCACGAGGCUCUCGACAGUAAUCACACACAUCUGGGCUGAUGUGUCCAAUGAAAAGCAUCAACCAUAUGGGAUAACUAAUGGUCACAUUCUUAACGAUCUGCUGGAAGGUGUAGACAUCUUCCAUUGUGGUGAAUACAGUUAUAAUUAAUGGUCGACCAGUUCUGUGAGUAUAGGAAGUGAAUCUCUCCUUGAGUUCCACAAAGUUAUUAACAACCACGGAAAUCCCUUCGUUAAAUAACAUUCUUAACGUGUUAUACUGAAUAGCGAGGACUGUGAAAGCUGGAUGAGAUAUUUAAUUAAUCAAAUUAUUUAUAAACAGGUACAUUCGACGGAGUAGCGAAGCGGUAAAAAGGCUCACAUCGUUUUUAUUAUCAGUCAAGGAAUGUUAAUAAUAAUUGAGCCUUCGGAAAAUUUUUCACUGACUCUGAUUUUAAGUAUUCUGGAUUCAACUUGUUUAGUGCAUGGGUGUGGAAUCAGGGAAAAUUUAUGAAACUCAAGCUUCAUUUAUUUAUGAUGAUUGCAAAUGUAUUAAAAUGGACAAGUACACGGUGGGGCAAGUCAAUAAAAAUUAUCAUAAAAAAACGUAAAGUUACGUUUUGAAACGAAAUCCGAGUGAAAUAAAAUUCAAUAAAAAGUGUGAAUUUCACCGCUUCGCUAUUGAAAUUAUUUUUGGCGAAAGCUUACUUCUACGAAGAGCUUCCGGCAUUGUGAUUAUAACUCCAGCCGUCUGGUAUUGAUCGUAAACGUUUUUCAACAAUGAGCCAUAACAGGUCUCUUUAUUGAGAGCCUCCACCAGGAGAGCGGUUCCAAUGACCAUAUUAAAUACCGCCAGUGAGACGCACAAGUUCAUUCCGAAUUUCCCGAUAGAAACUGUUUCGCAUUCGAACUCAACUGAAGCUUUCUCGUUGUGCCGGAUGCAUAAUAUACAUAAAUGUUCUAGGAAGGGAAAUCCAAAAAUAUUCAAGGAAGAGCUGCAAAUCUGUGACGCAAAUGGAAAAAUGCCCAUCUCAAAUCGAUGUAAUCUAUUAUUUGAUGGGAAAUGCCAAUAAUGAAUCAUCGGAUUGCAGGGGAUGAAUAAAAAAUGAAUUUUACCCCUGUACGAACGUCCAAUUUUAUUGAGUUAAAAAAGUGCUCUUCCA